rnacentral:rRNA from 1 species
AUACGUAGGGUGCAAGCGUUAAUCGGAAUUACUGGGCGUAAAGCGUGCGCAGGCGGUUUUGUAAGACAGAGGGGAAAUUCCAGGGCGCAACCUGGGAACUGCCUUUGUGACUGCAAUGCUAGAGUACGGCAGAGGGGGAUGGAAUUCCGCGUGUAGCAGUGAAAUGCGUAGAUAUGCGGAGGAACACCGAUGGCGAAGGCAAUCCCCUGGGCCUGUACUGACGCUCAUGCACGAAAGCGUGGGGAGCAAACAGGAUUAGAUACCCUGGUAGUCCACGCCCUAAACGAUGUCAACUGGUUGUUGGGUCUUCAUUGACUCAGUAACGAAGCUAACGCGUGAAGUUGACCGCCUGGGGAGUACGGCCGCAAGGUUGAAACUCAAAUGAAUUGACGGGG